rnacentral:rRNA from 1 species
AGUGAACGCUGGCGGUAGGCCUAACACAUGCAAGUCGAACGGCAGCACAGUAAGAGCUUGCUCUUACGGGUGGCGAGUGGCGGACGGGUGAGGAAUACAUCGGAAUCUACUUUCUCGUGGGGGAUAACGUAGGGAAACUUACGCUAAUACCGCAUACGACCUACGGGUGAAAGCAGGGGAUCUUCGGACCUUGCGCGAUUGAAUGAGCCGAUGUCGGAUUAGCUAGUUGGCGGGGUAAAGGCCCACCGAGGCGACGAUCCGUAGCUGGUCUGAGAGGAUGAUACGCCACACUGGAACUGAGACACGGUCCAGACUCCUACGGGAGGCAGCAGUGGGGAAUAUUGGACAAUGGGCGCAAGCCUGAUCCAGCCAUACCGCGUGGGUGAAGAAGGCCUUCGGGUUGUAAAGCCCUUUUGUUGGGAAAGAAAAGCAGCAGGUUAAUACCCCGCUGUUCUGACGGUACCCAAAGAAUAAGCACCGGCUAACUUCGUG